rnacentral:rRNA from 1 species
GACGAACGCUGGCGGCGUGCUUAACACAUGCAAGUCGAGCGGUAAGGCCCUUUCGGGGGUACACGAGCGGCGAACGGGUGAGUAACACGUGGGUGACCUGCCCUCAGCUCUGGGAUAAGCCCGGGAAACUGGGUCUAAUACCGGAUAUGACUCCACGGUGCAUGUCGUGGGGUGGAAAGCCUUGUGCGGCUGAGGAUGGGCCCGCGGCCUAUCAGCUUGUUGGUGGGGUGAUGGCCACCAAGGCGACGACGGGUAGCCGGCCUGAGAGGGCGACCGGCCACACUGGGACUGAGACACGGCCCAGACUCCUACGGGAGGCAGCAGUGGGGAAUCUUGCGCAAUGGGCGAAAGCCUGACGCAGCGACGCCGCGUGAGGGAUGACGGCCUGUGUAC